AACGAACGCUGGCGGCAGGCCUAACACAUGCAAGUCGAGCGCCCCGCAAGGGGAGCGGCGGACGGGUGAGUAACGCGUGGGAACGUGCCCUUUGCUACGGAAUAGACCCGGGAAACUGGGAGUAAUACCGUAUAAGCCCUACGGGGGAAAGAUUUAUCGGCAAAGGAUCGGCCCGCUGUGGAUUAGGUAGUUGGUGGGGUAAUGGCCUACCAAGCCGACGAUCCAUAGCUGGUUUGAGAGGAUGAUCAGCCACACUGGGAAGGAGACACGGCCCAGACUCCUGCUGGAAGGAGCAGUGGGGAAUCUUAGACAAUGGGCGCAAGCCUGAUCUGGCCAUGCGGCGGGAGCGAUGAAGGCCUUAGGGUUGUAAAGCUCUUUCGUGGGGGAAGAUAAUGACUGUACCCCAAGAAGAAGCCCCGGCUAACUCCGUGCCAGCCGCCGCAGUAAGAC
rnacentral:rRNA from 1 species